UAGAGUUUGAUCCUGGCUCAGAACGAACGCUGGCGGCGUGCCUAACACAUGCAAGUCGAACGAGAAAUCUGGCACUCAGGCAACUGAGUGCCGGAGAGUAAAGUGGCGCACGGGUGAGUAACACGUGGGUAACCUACCCCCGAAUCUGGGAUAACCUCGCGAAAGCGUUGCUAAUACCGGAUAUUGUCCUAUUGGUUGUGACCUUUGGGAUGAAAGGCAACCUCUUCAUGAAAGUUGUCGUUCAGGGAUGGGCCCGCGUACCAUUAGCUUGUUGGUGGGGUAACGGCUCACCAAGGCUGCGAUGGUUAGCUGGUCUGAGAGGAUGAUCAGCCACACUGGAACUGAAACACGGUCCAGACUCCUACGGGAGGCAGCAGUGAGGAAUUUUGCGCAAUGGGGGAAACCCUGACGCAGCAACGCCGCGUGAGUGAAGAAGGCUUUCGGGUCGUAAAGCUCUGUCAAGUGGGAAAAAAGUCUGAUGAUUAAUAGUUGUCAGAUCUGAUGGUACCACUGGAGGAAGCACCGGCUAACUCCGUGCCAGCAGCCGCGGUAAUACGGAGGGUGCAAGCGUUGUUCGGAAUUACUGGGCGUAAAGGGCGUGCAGGCGGGUUGGUAAGUCAGAUGUGAAAGCA
rnacentral:rRNA from 1 species